rnacentral:rRNA from 1 species
AGAGUUUGAUCAUGGCUCAGAUUGAACGCUGGCGGCAUGCCUUACACAUGCAUGUCGAACGGUAACAGGUCUUCGGAUGCUGACGAAUGGCGAACGGGUGAGUAAUACAUCGGAACGUGCCUAGUAGUGGGGGAUAACUACUCGAAAGAGUGGCUAAUACCGCAUGAGAUCUACGGAUGAAAGCAGGGGAUCGCAAGACCUUGUGCUACUAGAGCGGCCGAUGGCAGAUUAGGUAGUUGGUGGGAUAAAAGCUUACCAAGCCGACGGUCUGUAGCUGGUCUGAGAGGACGAUCAGCCACACUGGGACUGAGACACGGCCCAGACUCCUACGGGAGGCAGCAGUGGGGAAUUUUGGACAAUGGGCGCAAGCCUGAUCCAGCAAUGCCGCGUGCAGGAUGAAGGCCUUCGGGUUGUAAACUGCUUUUGUACGGAACGAAAAGCCCUGGGUUAAUACCCUGGGGUCAUGACGGUACCGUAAGAAUAAGCACCGGCUAACUACGUGCCAGCAGCCGCGGUAAUACGUAGGGUGCAAGCGUUAAUCGGAAUUACUGGGCGUAAAGCGUGCGCAGGCGGUUUUGUAAGACAGAGGUGAAAUCCCCGGGCUCAACCUGGGAACUGCCUUUGUGACUGCAAGGCUAGAGUACGGCAGAGGGGGGAUGGAAUUCCGCGUGUAGCAGUGAAAUGCGUAGAU